AAUGUAUGACGCCGUUGACUUUUAUCCAAUAUUUGACUAUUUGUCUUAUUCAAAAAAUUUAUGUAAUUAUCAUUUAUUUUAUUGUGACUUGAUUCAUCAUCAAAUGUUCUUUAAGCAUGAUAUAAAUAUUUUCAUAUUUACACAAAAAAUUUAAAUAAAACGAAUGGUCAAACGUUGGUCCAAAAGUUAACGGUAUCGUAUAUU
rnacentral:pre_miRNA from 1 species